rnacentral:rRNA from 1 species
GACGAAGGUGGCUAGCGUUGUUCGGAAUCACUGGGCUUAAAGCGCACGUAGGCGGCCCGUUAAGCACCUUGUGAAAUCCCUCGGCUCAACCGAGGAAUGGCUGGGUGUACUGGCGGGCUUGAGGCAAGUAGGGGCGCGUGGAACUCUUGGUGGAGCGGUGAAAUGCGUAGAUAUCAAGAGGAACGCCGGAGGCGAAAGCGACGCGCUGGGCUUGUCCUGACGCUGAGGUGCGAAAGCCAGGGGAG